UGGGGAAUCUUGCGCAAUGGACGAAAGUCUGACGCAGCCACGCCGCGUGAGUGAAGAAGGCCUUCGGGUUGUAAAGCUCUGUCGGGCGGGACGAACAUUUUCUGGGUGAAUAGCCCAGGGAACUGACGGUACCGCCAAAGGAAGCACCGGCUAACUUCGUGCCAGCAGCCGCGGUAAUACGAGGGGUGCAAGCGUUGCUCGGAAUUAUUGGGCGUAAAGGGUAGGUAGGUGGUCUCAUUUGUCUGGGGUGAAAGCCUUGAGCUUAACUCAAGAAGUGCCCCGGAAACGGUGAGACUGGAGUCCUGGAGAGGGUCGUGGAAUUCCCGGUGUGGCGGUGAAAUGCGUAGAGAUCGGGAGGAACACCAGAGGCGAAGGCGGCGACCUGGACAGGCACUGACACUCAACUACGAAAGCGUGGGGAGCAAACAGGAUUAGAUACCCUGGUAGUCCACGCCGUAAACGAUGGGUACUAGAUUAGGUGGGUCUUGACCCCCGCCGAAUCGGCGCUAACGCACUAAGUACCCCGCCUGGGAAGUACGGUCG
rnacentral:rRNA from 1 species